AACGACACGCGUGCACACGAACGAUUAAAUCAUAUGGGUUUCACGGCGUAAUUGCACGCACGUGGCACAGCGCGUGGCUUCCCCCUGAUUCUAUACGAGGCGCGCUCUUGCGGUGGAAAAGCCGUGCCAUUGGCUUUCGUGCGUUUCGCCUGACAUUCACACCUGACAUUAGCCUCGGCAAUAAUCCGCGUAAUUCUACGCUUACGAAGACGUACAACCUAUUAAAAGAGCCAAGGCUCGAAGCCGGGAAUCGCUAAUCUGAGAGGUUUAAAGGUGAAGCACUCUUUCGCGCGCGUUCGUGGUGAUGCUAAAGGUGAUGCUAGAUGUUGGGUGGAUGGCAAGGAGGAUUAUGGUAUACGAAUGAAGACAGCGUGUAUUGUUGAUGAUGGCGAAAGAAAAGGGUUUUACAGGAUUUAAAGUCUUCGAAAUUAUGAAAUUGGGCUUUUUCAAUGGAAGAUAUUGAAUGCAAGUUAAUAUACAUGUGGCUUUGACUAAUUUAAUGUAGCGGACAAAAGUAUAUGUUAGGAUUUAUGAGAAAUAAUGAAGUUAAUUCUGUUGCACCAGAUACCUUUUUCCCUAAUUCGAUUGUCCUCAAAAUGAAAGAAACAGGUGAAUUCCUAGGAGAUGCGCAGUUCGCGCUUUGUCCUGGGCCAGCAGCAACACUGCGGAUAAAUGAAGAAGGAUCGGCCGAUGAUUGUCAGGAAGGAGCACGUGACGAGGAUGGCUCACGAGGUGGAAGAAGGACCGGUCUAGGAAAACUCGAACCUUGACGAAGUGCUCAUAAAUAUGUCGCUCCGAGAGAAUGCGCCGAUGGUAGCCAAUGCGUCUACUACGACUGCGGAAUAAAGGCGUUUACACAACGCAGCAACGCGUUGUUACCUCUACGAACGGUUAAUUGUUCGGUUCGAUUCUUGUAAGGACAGGGCGGUUCGGGCUUUUAACAUUUACCGCGGCCUCGCGGUUGUAAAUUUAUGUCGAGAUGCUAUGAGCGUUUGAAUAGAACACGAUGUUUAUUGUGUUGAAAGGGGAAUGCGUUUGUGCACGAAUGUAACGUUAAUCCGUUGUGGAUUAUUUCAGAAUGUUCUUCUUGCUUAUGAAGGGAAAGGAUUGAGGAGCGUAUAGAAUAUUUGACGAGUAAUACACAUAGAAAUUAGCAAAAUUCUCCAUGUUGCUUCAUAAACGAAGUUAUGAGAAUUGGGAGGUUAAAGUCAGCAUACAAGCAGACUUCUCGGGUACAAACACUGUUCAAGUUGGGAUGACAGAGGAAAGGCGCACUUAUAAUUCAAUUCGCAAUCGAAGGAACGUUAAAUGCCAGUCCAACCUUCUGAAUACUUUAUCGCACUUUUCAAACCUAACAAUUAUUCAAAUCGAACCAAAUCAUAACUAAUAAUUCUCGGUCAUUCUUAAACAUCCCUAUAAAAUUAUCUUAAUACGCGCUUCGUACAUUAUCGUCUGCUUCAAAUCGUCCGUUCUCCAUAGCUUAUUCAAAUUGCAACAUAUAUAGUCCCUUCAGCCUAUAAUUUGUUAAUGAUGUGAACUUCCCUUAACACGUUCGAGAGUGACUCUGAACGAUGAUUUUGAACAAAACUCUGUCGAAUGACUGAAAACUUUUCUGCAAUUUUAAUUAAAAAAUAAGUGAAACUAUGGAUGUAAAAGUAGAAAAAAAGACGUUUUCGACAAUUUUUAUAUAAAAACAAAUGUAUGUCAUUCGCGUUUUACUUAAAAUUUUAGGAAGAUAAACAGGCAAAAUGAUAUUUAUUUCAUGCAUGAGAAAAUUAUAGGUGUAACAUGUAUAUAAUAGAUAUAAACGUUAUUUAUACUUGUAAUUGUCCGAGUAUCGAUUAAAAAUACUGAUGACAUGUAUGUGUUGUCGUGGGUCAUUAUAGCGGAAUACCAUAUAAUAUAUAUGCCAUGCCGUCGCUCUCGAAUGUGUUAAUAUUAACAAACACGAUUGCAUAUCGAGGACAUCGGCGCGGCGGUGUCAACAGAAAACGAAUAUUGCAGCACACGCUCUAUUGAAGUGAACUUAAGUCAGUAUACAGGCUACCAAACUGGAAACGCGUUGCCCAGUACUUCGUACUGCACGAGUGGUCAAUGUACCGCACAGCUCGUAUCACGUAACAUCAGACCGCGACCACACGAGUUUACACACCCUAAGACAAUGAUGUACUUCGACCACAGCUGUCCCGGAUACACCAUUGUUGACGCGAACCACGCGCAAAAAGCAAGGGGUAGGUGACUUAUUAGAGAGAAUUACUAGAGUAACAUAAAUGUAUCUAAAUUAAAGAGGUGAUUAAAAAAUGAUACAAUUCAGACAAGAUUUUCAAGAAAAGCGACAAAUUAUUUUGGAGUUUAUUCUACGAAACAGCAAGUUAAUGCACACCGACAAAGUAAAAUCUAUGUUUUGAAAUCAGGUUACUGCUUGUUAAAUCGUGCAAAGAUAAUUCUAGCCUUGAGGUAGCGUCGAGUUGCGUGACUACAUCUUUUAGUAUACAAUGUUGACGUGUUAUGGUUAUGCAAAUGCUAUGAGAAUGAUGGAAAAAGACUAAGCUGUCCUUUCCCUUCUUUCAUUUACGUGUAUCGUUUGCGUUUUUAUGGUUCGCGUGGUGCUUAAGUAGAAUAUCGACGCCAGAACAUAGAUAAAGGUCAAUGCUUUACUAGAAUGUAUAAAGAUAAUUUGUAUAAAACAACUAACUUACUAAACAAAUUUGGAAACAAGAGUUCAAAGGAUAUCUCGCAAAUGAAAUUGAAACAUAAAAAUUAUCAUAAAAUAAUUUUAUUUAAAUCAUUUUAACAGUGAAAAAAUUAAAGAAAUUCAUUGUUUAAUAUAUUGAAGUUUAAAUACAGUUUACAGCAUAGAGUUGGACGAGAACUAUCGACGGACACAAAGAUAAAUUACAGGGCCUGUACAAAGCAACCACUUCUGCAACACCCUAGAACGAUCCUCGAGAUAAGUCAACUGGCCUCUCUAUCGAUUUCUAAUCGCGUUUAAAGCUAAAUUGAAGCGAGACGUGUCUGUCCACUCGGUGUAUCUUACUUACUAUAUAUCUAACAUAGAACCGUUAGGAGUUUCCUAGUAUAAAUCACUGGAUUGAAAAACCAUCGGAAUAUAACGCAGAUACCCUGUACACCACAUAAUAAAUAUCCAAUAAAGCAACGAAUUCACUGGUAAA